CGCAUCUUCACACUGACAAAGUUCGAGCUGAAGCACGCCUAUACGAAAGAAGGAUAACACUCAUCAUAACGGCUUCUUCACCUACUGAACUUAACUUAUCAGACAUUCCGUGGAUCGAUUAAGACACAUAUAUUGUGCCGUUACUAAGAGCUUAUGGAAUCUUAUGUAGUUCGUUGAAGUUCGUUAAGCCAGAGUUGUAGCUUUGAGAUAGAAUCGUACGUCCUGAAUGCUAUUUAACUUCUGCCGUCUGUUCUGGAGCUCCAAUCCACGAAAUUGCUGCAGACCAACCCGCAGCGGUGUAACGUAGUCCUCCCGGAGAAGGCGAAACUGAACGUCCAGCUUGCGUGUACAAAUCACCUAGACAUUAUAUACGGACCAUCAUCGAUAUUUCAGCACACGCCUAAAUCCGGCAGCAUCCCCAACUUCCUCACUUCUGCGACAAUUUACAUAGUCCAGAGAAGGGCAUAUGAGUAAACAUGCGAAUGGAACGUGUGAACAUGUGACUGUGUAUGUGACUGCGAUGCUGGUUUGCGGGUAAAAGCCAGAAAAGCCAAUAGUACAUAUUUUCUUCUGAUCUAUCUGUAACACAUCUGCGAAUCUACCCCAAGAAGAAAUGGGAAUCAACCUUAUUGGGCAGAGCACACGGCGGUGCUCACAAUGACUUCUGCAAUGACAAUAGGUUGCAUCCCUAGAUCACGACAGGUCUGGAUGUGUGGCCUAUUCACGCGGAUUUGUGCUGCAGGAUGGCCUUAAUGCGGGUAUUGGAUGUUGAAAGUAGUGCAAAGCUGUGAGGAAGCAAUGAAGCACCCGACACGCGUACAAGGACAUUGUGGUCCGACCAGCCUGUCAGCAGUCAGCCUGUUGUGGGGCUGAAGAUACUGGCUACAAGAUGAAAACAUUUCGCGGGAAAUUUCGAUGUGGAAGAAGACUCGUAUUGGUCAUCAAUUACGAAGGAAGAGAAGUUGAUGAAAUGAUGUGGAAGUUGAGCAAAACCAACACGUGAGCAGCCAUAAUAUCGCCAAGAAGCUAAAUAUCUGUCACGAAGCAGUUUUAAAUCGGCUUAAGGAAACUAGCUACAAAAAAAAACGCAUGUUUACGAUGACUCGAUCGUGUUUUCAUCUUGUAAAUUCUACAAACACGCGAACUCUUUCUGAUGUGAUUGAUCACGAUUGGAAACUGGGCAAAUAAAAAAAAUAAUGCGUUCUACAAUCUGUGGCGAAGCCUA